CGGUGACAAACCGGAGGAAGGUGAGGAUGACGUCAAGUCAGCAUGCCCCUUAUGUCCUGGGCCACACACGUGCUACAAUGACAAAGACAAAGGGUUGCAAAUUCGUGAGAACUAGCUAAUCCCAUAAACUUUGCCUAAGUUCGGAUUGUAGGCUGCAACUCGCCUACAUGAAGUUGGAAUCGCUAGUAAUCGCUGGUCAGCUAUACAGCGGUGAAUUCGUUCCCGGGCCUUGUACACACCGG
rnacentral:rRNA from 14 species